UACGUAGGGGGCAAGCGUUGUCCGGAUUUAUUGGGCGUAAAGAGCGUGUAGGCGGCUAGAUAGGUCCGUUGUGAAAACUCGAGGCUCAACCUCGAGACGCCGGUGGAAACCAUCUAGCUAGAGUCCGGAAGAGGAGAGUGGAAUUCCUGGUGUAGCGGUGAAAUGCGCAGAGAUCGGGAGGAACACCCGUAGCGAAGGCGGCACUCUGGGCCGGUACUGACGCUGAGGAGCGAAAGCGUGGGGAGCGAACAGG
rnacentral:rRNA from 1 species